UCUCCCUUUUUCCACUAUGGGUCUCCCUAUUUUCUUUUCCUAUUCUCCAUGUUCUCUCCUACAAGAGCAAUUUGAAACGCAUUUGGCUAAAUUCCAAAGUAAGGAGGCCUUUACAGAGUUCAAAAUCCCUCCAGACAAAUAUGUGAUUUUUCUUGGUGGCAUUCAAAACCCCUCUUGACUUUGAAAUUCAUCCCUCCAGGCCACCCAGCCUUGUGAAUACAAUUCCAAGUAAUGUUUUAUGCCUUCAAUGGGCAGGAGUUGAGACUCUAAAAGGUGAGGUUCAUAGCUUUGUUUGACGUAGAGAGUAGAAAGAUUUGUAUGGAACUUUCUUGAAUAUUUAUCUUCAAAUGCUGAAACGAGCGUGACUGGUGAUGGACAAAGCAAAUGAAGAGUCAGAGAGAAGAAGCAAGUUCUGCAAAUGUUUGAUACAGAAGAAGAAGUCAGUAGAGGACAAAGCAUUUGAAUGUGCACCUGAGAGCCCUAAGAUAUGCCAUUUUCUCUGCAAAAUUCUACUUUAAAGUGUGCAAGAGACAAUCUUGAUGCUAUUUUACUCAAUAUAUGGACCGGCUUCGCAUUGUAUUGUGGGAAAUAGCUUUGGUUCAUAUGUGAAAGAUUCCACAGGAGUUUUCUUGGACUUCUUAAUUGAUAAGGUGUUUGUUCUUCUACUCAGAAUUUUUGUUGAACUUU